UGACCUCAAAUCAGGUAGGAGUACCCGCUAAACUUAAGCAUAUCAAUAAGCGGAGGA
rnacentral:rRNA from 1 species